rnacentral:snRNA from 1 species
AGCAUCCGAACAAGUGAAACUGU